GUUAAAAUCGCCCAAACUGUUGCGUCCGCCGGAACAGCGAGAGAGCGCGUACCGCAGCGGCAGCGCGCGCCGCUGCAGGCUGGAGCUCAGCGUCUGCCGCGUUCACAGCCGAGGCCGAACGUGUCUUGAUCUGAGCCUAAGCUGUUGAGACACACGAGGAACAACUUAACGGCAUGGACAUUUUAAACCCAAUCAACCCAUGGUUUUCCCAAUGUCUUCGUGAGAUACACGGCCACGUGGACUCUCUCUCCCUCAUCCACCAUUAAAUGCCCCGUGCAGAGGUGCAAAACAAUGGCUUGUCCUUCAAACACAACCUUCAGAAACUUUGCCUGAUACUGAUGUCGACUGGAAAAGCUCUAAAAGUCACUGUCCAACCGUAACGAGACACUCCUUGUUUGUUGUUGUGUUAACAUUUUCAUCAUCAGCAAACGCGACGCAGCGGAAAGAUCUGCAGCACCUUUCAUCCGGUGAUCAUGUUAUUCAGUGGAUUUGUCUCUGCAAAAAUAAUGUUUCCUCUGAAGACAAACGUUACAAGUGACGGAGGCCGGGAGUGUGAUUUUAGGAUGUGUGCCAUUAACAACAAGCCCGGGCCUUUGUUGCCCGCUCCUCAUGUGGAAUGCAUAAAUUCUGUUUCUGCUGAAUAAACUGCAUGUGCCUGC